UUGAUGUAUCAGAGUGGCUGUUAUGUGUGU
rnacentral:piRNA from 1 species